UCCCUGGUGGUCUAGUGGUUAGGAUUUAGCACUCUCACUACUACAGCCUGGGUUUGAUUCCCAAGCAGGGAA
rnacentral:tRNA from 1 species